rnacentral:rRNA from 1 species
AUUGAACGCUGGCGGCAGGCCUAACACAUGCAAGUCGAGCGAGCGUCGGACGGGUGAGUAAUGUAUGGGGACUGCCCCAUAGAGGGGGAUAACUCCUGGAAACGGUGGCUAAUACCGCAUACUGCCUGAUAACCCAUAUGUGAUUAUCUAGUAGGUAAGGUAAUGGCUUACCUAGGCGACGAUCCCUAGCUGGUCUGAGAGGAGGAUCAGCCACACUGGGACUGAGACACGGCCCAGACUCCUACGGAGGAAGCAGUGGGGAAGAUUGCACAAUGGGCGCAAGCCGGAUGCAGCCAUGCCGCGUGUAUGAAGAAGGCCCUAGGGUUGUAAAGUACUUUCAGUCGGGAGGCGUUACCGACAGAAGAAGCACCGGCUAACUCCGUGCCAGCCGCCGCGGUAAUUC